CCUACGGGAGGCAGCAGUGAGGAAUAUUGGUCAAUGGACGAGAGUCUGAACCAGCCAAGUAGCGUGAAGGAUGACUGCCCUAUGGGUUGUAAACUUCUUUUAUAUGGGAAUAAAAUGUUCCACGUGUGGGAUUUUGUAUGUACCAUAUGAAUAAGGAUCGGCUAACUCCGUGCCAGCAGCCGCGGUAAUACGGAGGAUCCGAGCGUUAUCCGGAUUUAUUGGGUUUAAGGGGAGCGUAGGUGGAUUGUUAAGUCAGUUGUGAAAGUUUGCGGCUCAACCGUAAAAUUGCAGUUGAAACUGGCAGUCUUGAGUACAGUAGAGGUGUGCGGAAUUCGUGGUGUAGCGGUGAAAUGCUUAGAUAUCACGAAGAACUCCGAUUGCGAAGGCAGUUCACUGGACUGCAACUGACACUGAGGCUCGAAAGUGUGGGUAUCAAACAGGAUUAGAUACCCCGGUAGUC
rnacentral:rRNA from 1 species